UACCACUUUGUGAUUCAUGACUGGGGUGAAGUCGUAACAAGGUAACCGUAGGGGAACCUGCGGUUGGAUCACCUCCUUA
rnacentral:ncRNA from 24 species